AUGAAUUCCCUUCUUCUUCAGCCUAUUUUUCUUCCACGCGUGACUUUUCUUUUCCUAAUUUGUUCAGGGUCUGGAAACGACAGUAUCGGUCGCCAUGGUUUGAUUCAUAACAAAACGACUAGCUACGAUUUCUUCCUGCUCUAUGAUCAAAUAUCGUCUUCAAUCGGCUCCAUAUUUGCUUCUUUUGGUAUCGGUACCCAAAACGUGCACAACUUAUGCAGAUUUAUCAGACCCAUUUGA